rnacentral:tRNA from 1 species
GGUCUUGUAUUCAUUUAUGAUUUUAUAUUGCAAAUAUAAAGGUGCAUUUUAUUUUUGCUAAGGCUU